rnacentral:rRNA from 1 species
AUGCACGCUGGCGGCGUGCUUAACACAUGCAAGUCGAACGAUGAAGCCCAGCUUGCUGGGCGGAUUAGUGGCGAACGGGUGAGUAACACGUGAGUAACCUGCCCUUGACUCUGGGAUAAGCCCGGGAAACUGGGUCUAAUACCGGAUAGGAGCGCCUGUCGCAUGACGGGUGCUGGAAAGAUCUUUCGGUCAUGGAUGGACUCGCGGCCUAUCAGCUUGUUGGUGAGGUAACGGCUCACCAAGGCGACGACGGGUAGCCGGCCUGAGAGGGUGACCGGCCACACUGGGACUGAGACACGGCCCAGACCCCUACGGGAGGCAGCAGUGGGGAAUAUUGCACAAUGGGCGAAAGCCUGAUGCAGCGACGCCGCGUGAGGGAUGACGGCCUUCGGGUUGUAAACCUCUUUCAGCAGGGAAGAAGCGAAAGUGACGGUACCUGCAGAAGAAGCACCGGCUAACUACGUG